ACACACAGUGCUUUCUGGCAGGGGGUCCUGUUUGCAAGAUUGAUGAGAUGGCUGUGUUUAAUUACCUUAAUUUGGGCUCCUGGCACAGAUGUGUUUGCGGCAAUGCAAAUCAGCCAGGGGAAGAUUCACACCUCAGCCAGUCCCCCUUGUUGGACAUCAGUGUCAGGCCAACGGAUCUGUAUUAAGUUAUUCAGUAGGGUCAAGCCUGGAGCCUAUCCCAGAGAACUCAGGGCGUGAGGUGGGGGACACGCUGGACAUCGCAGAGAAAAAUCGGAUUCACAUUCACACACCACGGACAAUUUAGAGAUGCCAAUCAGCCUACAAAGCAUGUUUUUGGGCUGGGGGAGGAACCCAGAGUGCCCAGAGGAAACUCCUAAAGCAUGGGGAGAAUAUGCAAACUGCAUACAGACAGGGA
ensembl:lncRNA